rnacentral:rRNA from 1 species
CCUACGGGUGGCAGCAGUGAGGAAUAUUGGUCAAUGGGAGAGAUCCUGAACCAGCCAAGCCGCGUGAGGGAAGACGGCCCUAUGGGUUGUAAACCUCUUUUGUCGGAGAACAAAACCCGGGACGUGUCCCGGACUGCGUGUAUCCGAAGAAAAAGCAUCGGCUAACUCCGUGCCAGCAGCCGCGGUAAUACGGAGGAUUCGACCGUUAUCCGGAUUUCUUGGGUUUAAAGGGUGCGUAGGCGGUCCGUUAAGUCAGCGGUAAAAUUGCGGGGCUCACCCCCGGCAAGCCGUUGAAACUGGGAGACUUGAGUUGAGGAGAGGUAGGCGGAAUGCGCGGUGUAGCGGUGAAAUGCAUAGAUAUCACGCAGAACUCCGAUUGCGAAGGCAGCGUACCG